rnacentral:rRNA from 1 species
GCCAACACUAGCCCCAAGCAUAAUCAACACUAAUAACAAACCAACAUACACUAAACCAUUUACCUAUACAAAGUAUAGGCGAUAGAAAUUUUAAUCUGGCGCUAUAGAUAUAGUACCGCAAGGGAAAGAUAGAAAACCACCCAAGCACAAAACAGCAAGGACUAGCCCCUGUACCUUUCGCAUAAUGAAUUAGCUAGAAACAAUUUUACGAAGAGAACUAUAAGCCAAAUUCCCCGAAACCAGACGAGCUACCCAAAAACAGCUAAAAGAGCGCACCCAUCUAUGUGGCAAAAUAGUGGGAAGAUUUUUAGGUAGAGGUGACAAGCCUACCGAGCCUGGUGAUAGCUGGUUAUCCAAGACAGAAUCUUAGUUCAACCUUAAGCUUACCUACAGAACUUCCUAAUCCCCCUGUAAGCUUAAUUGCUAGUCCAAAGAGGGACAGCUCUUUAGACACUAGGAAAAAACCUUACGGAGAGAGUAAAACCCCUCAACUACCAUAGUUGGCUUAAAAGCAGCCAUCAAUUAAGAAAGCGUUCAAGCUCAACAUUGACGACCUCAAAAAUACCAAGCACAUAACUGAACUCCUCACAUCACAUUGGAUUAAUCUAUCGCCAUAUAGAAGCAAUAAUGCUAGUAUAAGUAACAUGAAUACUUUCUCCACUGCAUAAGCCUAAAUCGGACCGAAAACCUCACCGACACUUAACAGCCAGGCACAGCAAACACAAACAAGCCCAUGCUACCUUCACUGUUAACCCAACACUGGCAUGCCUCAAGGAAAGGUUAAAAAAAGUAAAAGGAACUCGGCAAACUCAAACCCCGCCUGUUUACCAAAAACAUCACCUCUAGCAUUACUAGUAUUAGAGGCACUGCCUGCCCGGUGACACACGUUUAACGGCCGCGGUACCCUGAC